GCGGCCGUGGCGGAAUUGGCAGACGCGCAGGCUUCAGGUGCCUGUGUCCUUAGGGACGUGGAGGUUCGACUCCUCUCGGCCGCA
rnacentral:tRNA from 1 species